rnacentral:ncRNA from 1 species
GUAAACACAAAGAAGAGAAGAAGUAGUAGGUGACGAUUUUUCAGAGAGGCUGCGGGUGGUGGAAGCAGUCAAAUCAACGCUUAUGAAAUGCACCUCCGAGUGGUCUUAGCGAUAUGUAGCUAAGGACGUUUCACAGACGUUACCUGUUUGAGGCAGAUACUGCAAACAAAAGUGGGACCACGUUAAAGCGUCUUUUGA